AGCGAGAGUAGAAGCGUUCACUGCUGCGUGAAGUGCCGCCCGGUACUUCGGUUGAUCGGCGCAGCGGCCGGAAAUUGCUCUUGAA
rnacentral:ncRNA from 2 species